CUACGGGUCGCUCCAGUGAGGAAUAUUGCACAAUGGGGGGAACCCUGAUGCAGCAACGCCGCGUGGAGGAUGACGCAUUUCGGUGUGUAAACUCCUUUUAUAUGUCAAGAAGAUGACGGUAGCAUAUGAAUAAGCACCGGCUAACUCCGUGCCAGCAGCCGCGGUAAUACGGAGGGUGCAAGCGUUACUCGGAAUCACUGGGCGUAAAGGACGCGUAGGCGGGUUGGAAAGUCAGGUGUGAGAUCCUACAGCUUAACUGUAGAACUGCACUUGAAACUUCUAAUCUAGAGUAUGGGAGGGGGAGAUGGAAUUAGUGGUGUAGGGGUAAAAUCCGUAGAUAUCACUAGGAAUACCUAAAGCGAAGGCGAUCUCCUGGAACAUUACUGACGCUAAGGCGUGAAAGCGUGGGGAGCAAACAGGAUUAGAUACCCGCGUAGUC
rnacentral:rRNA from 1 species